ACAAAUCAUAAUAUGUAAUCAUCACUUAGAUUUGCAUGAAUACUACUAUUUAUUGCAUCCCACAACUGUUCUACCAUCUUUAUACUAGGCUGUUUAGUCACGUGAUCAAAAGCCGUAGAAUUUUUUUUGCCGUAGCGAACUCGCAUACCGUAGACAGAUUUUCCCGAGAUUUUAUACGUAUGUGCCCAUCCAAAGCUAUUUUCCGACUAUGUUUUUCCUUAUUAGGCAUUUUUCGAUAGACACCUCUUUGCACAGAAUAGGCCGAGGUUUGUUUUGAUUGAUGAUAGAAGUUUGUAGCUGUUAACGUUGAAGAGUUACAGGAUUUUGAAUUUUAAGAAUUUGACUUCAAGAUAUCUUGGCCAAACAUCUGAAUGCAGUGGUUGUACAGUUAAACGUGUUUAUAUACUUUGUAUAAAAAAUGGUAUUUCUGGCAUGAGUAUAAAAUAUUUAUAUUAUGUCAAUGACUUUAUAUUAAAGUUUUUAUUUAGCUUAAUUUUAUGAUUUUGAUAUUUGUUUCUUUCUGGAUUUUUGCCCAUCUCUCUACAGUAUUUAACAGCCUGGUCUGCAAAACAUCAAUAAUUUUUUAUAGUUUAAUUUACUGUUUUUAUCACAAUUCUGUUAAUUAACCUAUACAAACUUCGCAAAUGGCUUAUAUACCUGGUUUCCUUUUUAGUUCUUACCCCCGUCUUUUUUAAAUUUAACAGUCUGGUCUGUAAAUUACACAUAUUUAUCACAUGAUAUUUUUUGUAGUUUUAAUUACUGUUUUACCAUGGUUCUGUUCUUUUUAAUUUAAUGCAACUUCGCCAACAAUGGCUUAUUUAAAACUGGUUUCUUUUUAGUUUUACCCCCGUCUUUCUCUAUUUAACUGUCUGGUCUGUAAAAUACACACCUUAUCACGUGAUAUUUUUUGUAGUUUUAAUUACUGUUUUAUCACAGCAAUUUAAUGCAACUUCGCCAAUGACUUAUUUAUAACUGGUUUCUUUUUAGUUUUACCCCCGUCUUUCUCUAUUUAACUGUCUGGUCUGUAAAAUACACAUAUUAUCACAUGAUAUUUUUUGUAAUUUGAACUAUAUACUGUUUUAUCACAGUUUUUUUUUUUUAUUAAUUUAAUGCAACUUCGCCAAUGGCUUAUUUAUUACUGGUUUCUUUUUAGUUUUACCCCCGUCUUUCUCUGUUAACAGUCUGGCCUGUAAAAUACACAUCAUAUCACGUGAUAAUUUUAUAGGUUUUCUUCUUUUAAGUUCUAGUGACGUUUAUAGUUACUUAUUUCUAGUUACGUGAUAGGAUUACUUUUCAUUUUUAUGUUAGUUUUUACAGUUAUUUUACCAAUGUUAUGUAUAUUUUACCAUAUAUGGAAAAAGUAAAAAUGGCGGCAUAAUGACGUCAGAUAUGAAAAAAAAAAUUGCAAAUGUCUUUCUUAGCAUAAAUUUUACCAACCCUAAAAUUUUCAUUCUAUAAUGUUUAGUUAUACCAAAGUUAUUGUACACGUAGCAAAGGUCUCAAAAUGAGUUUAAAAACAGUCGUUUUGGUGCCAAAAAUGUUCUACUUGGAAUGCACUUAUUUUUUCUAAUUUUUGCUACCAAUUACGCAUACUAAAAUAG